rnacentral:rRNA from 1 species
GACGAACGCUGGCGGCGUGCUUAACACAUGCAAGUCGAACGGAAAGGCCCUGCUUUUGUGGGGUGCUCGAGUGGCGAACGGGUGAGUAACACGUGAGUAACCUGCCCUUGACUUUGGGAUAACUUCAGGAAACUGGGGCUAAUACCGGAUAGGAGCUCCUGCUGCAUGGUGGGGGUUGGAAAGUUUCGGCGGUUGGGGAUGGACUCGCGGCUUAUCGGCUUGUUGGUGGGGUAGUGGCUUACCAAGGCUUUGACGGGUAGCCGGCCUGAGAGGGUGACCGGCCACAUUGGGACUGAGAUACGGCCCAGACUCCUACGGGAGGCAGCAGUGGGGAAUAUUGCACAAUGGGCGGAAGCCUGAUGCAGCAACGCCGCGUGCGGGAUGACGGCCUUCGGGUUGUAAACCGCUGUCGCCUGUGACGAAGCGUGAGUGACGGUAAUGGGUAAAGAAGCACCGGCUAACUACGUG